rnacentral:rRNA from 1 species
AUACGGAAGGUCCGGGCGUUAUCCGGAUUUAUUGGGUUUAAAGGGAGCGCAGGCGGAGAUGCAAGCGUGACGUCAAAUUUCGGGGCUCAACCCCGUCUCGCGUCGCGAACUGCGUCCCUUGGUUGCGGGAAGGGGAGGCGGAACUCGUGGUGUAGUGGUGAAAUGCAUAGAUAUCACGAAGAACUCCGAUCGCGAAGGCAGCCUUCCGGCCCGUCAACGACGCUCAUGCUCGAAGGUGCGGGUAUCAAACAGGAUUAGAUACCCUGGUAGUCCGUACAGUAAACGAUGGACACCCGCGGUUUGGCCUAUAUGGCUGAGCCGCCAAGCGAAAGCGUUAAGUGUCCCACCUGGGGAGUACGCCGGCAACGGUGAAACUCAAAUGAAUUGACGGGG